rnacentral:ncRNA from 1 species
UUAGCCAAGACCUUUUAAAAUUUUGGUUUUAUGGGAUUAAGGUUUGACAUGUUAAGUAUUAUUAUCACUUAGUACCGGCGACAUAUCUAUCAAGUAUCUGCCUUAUCAACUUUCGAUGGUAGUUUAUGUGCCUACCAUGGUUAUAACGAGUAACGGAGAAUAAGGGUUCGACUCCGAAGAGGGAGUCUGAGAAACGGCUACCACUUCCAAGGAAGGCAUCAGGCG